GGGGGUGGACACGGAUCUCCCCCACACACCCUGCCUGGAAACAGAGCUGUUUGUAAGGCAUCACGUUCUGGCAAGCCAGGGGAAUGUCCAGAAGUUUCUGCAGCCGAGGCAGGUGGAAAUUGUACAGCAAGGUGGAGAACCAAGGAAGGGAUCUGCCUUGUGAUCUUAUGGAUCUCCACUCCCUGGAAAGACACUGGUGUUACAACAGCUGCACCCAGGUCAGAUACCUCCAGCUACGUCUGAACACCUUGUUUCUUUCUUCAGAGAAUGAGAUAUCACUGGAACUCUCCAAAGAAGUUUCUUCAGCAGCUUCUCUAGGCUCCUAAGCAGGGCAGACCUGAUCCAACCUUCCCAAACAAACAACAAAAACAAAACCCACGAGGCUCCAUGAAAUUGGCUGUGAGCUUUCCCAUUCCUCUGGGGUUGAGCAGAAGUUGAUCAGAGGUUUGUUAGAAAGCUGCCAAUUCAGUCAUACACAGUAAAAAGAUAAAGCAAGACUGUUCAGCCUAUUUUCUGCUGCUUUGCAAGGGAAAUACAUGUUCUCUGGACUGCAGAUCAACGGUGAGCUUUAGCAAUGAGGCGUGAAGAUGGUUAACUGUUCUGAAAGAUACCAACCCUGUAACAGAGCAGCACCAAAGAUGGAUAUGACUCAGAUAAAGAGCCUAUGAAGGCUAAAUAAAAGCCUUGCAGAAGCCUUUCUUAUAAAGCACCUCCAAGAUCCACAGCACAAGACAGAUGUGAGCCAGCUGAUACCACAAAGCAGCCAUUUGCAGACUGAUGCCAAACACUGCCCAGCAUGGCUAACAAAACAGGCAUCUCCCCUCUCUAAAGAUCAGACCAAUUUGCACUCUCCCUGCCUACUACAGUCAUCUCAUUCUAAUUACAACCAACAGAAAUCAACUGAGUUUGCAGGGGAGGGAGGAUACUGUAGCUCUUCAAGCCUUACUCAGCAUCAUAUGACUAACCAUUCUUACCAUUGGACUCAGAUGCUCACGCUCACAAGCUGAAAGAUAAGCUGUCUGAAGCCAAUGCCCAGCUGGCUGAGGUGGAAAAAAGCCAAGCUGAAAGUAAUGCCAUCAGGCUCCAAGGUAAAUCCCCUGGUAGCUGUGUGCAACACUACCACCCCCCUGAACCUCCUCCUCCCCUGUGUUCCACAGAACUCUGGCAGCUCUGCCUCCUUUACCCAAACUGCCCAAUCCUUCUAGCCUUCUCUUCUCCUUCUUCAAUCAGGUGGAAAGAGUUCCCCUCCUGCCUCUCUGUGUGCUUUUUCUCCUGCAGCUCAACACAGCCAGCCAAGCACAGAGCACAAGGUCUGAUGUCGAUUAAUUAGGUUGUCCACAUGCAGCUCUCUCAGAUGUAUGACCCCAAGAGGAUGAAAAGUUAAGAGUACUGGGGACCACCAACCACCUUCACAGCUUGCAGCUAGAGUUGGAUAUGCUCUGCCUGCUCUUUGCUCGCUGUCCACUUCAGAAUAACAAGCCUUUUAUUGUUUCAGCUCUCACAAGGGAAAGUUCUCCUCACACAGAUCUCUGGGCUUGUUACCAGCUAAUCUCAGUAAGGGUGCAUGGGGCGUGAGCAUCACGAUUCAUAUGGGGGAUAUGAACAUAAGAUGAUCUCCUGUGAGCCAGAAGCAAAGAGCAGAACACAUACCUAUUCAUUCUCAGUCCGCUGUCUGUUCAGUGGAUUGCACUGCAGUUCAUUUGCAUAGGUCACAUAUGUCUGGCUCAAAAUGUAUCAGCAUUCCAUGUCUCCGUCUGACAUGUCUGUCCUGGAAAUUUUUCUUAUCUCCAAAGAAUAAUUCUAGUACUGCACCUGCAUAUCAAAAGCCUGGCAAGAAUUCUCUGCAUUCAGAGCAAUCACAAAAUGGGUUUACUGUUGUAAUUCUUUUGAAACAGUUUCAGAGAAAACAGCAAUGAUGACAAGCCAAGUUCUGCUUUCAGUUAUAUGAGCUCAAUUCAAUUCACUGCAGUAAAGCAAAAAAAAAAAAAGAAAAGAAAACCAACAACAAAACAGGUAAGGAGAGCAAACACUUGGCUCCUGACCAGGAAGAUACUUUGAAAUGUUUCUAGCUAGUCCAGAACUAAGUUGCUCAAGUGGAGCACUGCAGCCUGGGGGAGUGAGGUCAGUGCCUUCAUACUUCCAACAGGAGAACAUUGCAGCCAUUACUAUCCAUCUAUCUCAAGUCCUGCACUGCUGCUGUGGUAAGCCUGGCUAAUACCAGGAAUUACCUGGAGGUGAUGAAAGAGCAGUUGGAAGAGGAGGAAGAGUGCAAAAUAGAAGUUCAGCGUCUGGUCUCUGAACUCAGUACUGAAAUCAAAGUCUAAAAGCAUGACACUAAGAGCCCUGGAAGAACCAGAAAGCUGGAAGAAACAAGGUGAGCACACAGCUUUCAGGGAGAAUGGGGCAGGACUUAGAGUAGCUUGUUAUUUAGUUUGGCUGCUGAGUCACAGCUUAUAGAUGUGACCUGUUAGGACUCAUUUUUAUAAGACAAAGGAAGGAGAGCACUGCCGCCAAGAAGAAAAGAACAUCUGCAAUAAUAAAUAGGGACUACUGAGAUCUAACCCUUGUAUGCUGGCAACAGAAGAACAAUGCUGUACCUUUCCAGUAAAGGCUUGAAGUUGGGCAGCUUUCCCUUACUCCAACAGGACCUCUGCUCUUCCAGCAGCCCUACAAAAGCCACUAGCAUUUCCUGAGAAAAAAGAAUGCACCCAAAUCAGAUUGAAGCCCCUGGAAUGUGCUCCUUGAGAUCUGGUAACGGAGGCAAGAAGUUAAGGCCAUCUUUUAACAGUCUCUCUCUAGCAGAGCUAACAAAGAUGCUUUCACAGAACAGAAAAGCUAAGGCACCUGGAGGGUUUUAACCACGUGCCUGAGACAAGCCGAGACAAAAUAAGCUAUUCUAUCUCUGCCUUAGUCCCAUAGAUUGUCACAGGGAGUGAAGCUACCUUGCUCUUUGACAUUAUUACUGUCCUGGGGAUACCUAAACAGAAGGACAACCCAGCAAUGAGGAACUGAGCUGCAGUCCACUAUGAUGUUUGUACCUGGGGAGAGGAAGAUCCAGCCACAUCCUAGUCGUGGUUUUACAGUCACUUUUCUGAGAUUGCUUUCAGGAUUACUGGUGAAAAUAGCAGUAGUGCUCAAGGAGAUGACAGCUGCUGACCCCCAGAACUCCUCACUCCAUGAACUACUGAGUUAUUUCUGCCCCCACUCCUUUGGGACAAAGUUGGCUGUGAGGGUCCAAGCAGCAAAGCAGACAGCUGAAUCAGUCCAAGUCUGCCCAGGCAGCACUAAGCAGAGGCUUCAGACAAAAAAAAAUGAAGAACCCCACUCCUUACCUGGAAAAGGCAAGAAAUUCAGCCAUUCAAGAAUACAUCUAACACAAGCCUGACCAGCGAGACCUGAUGGUGGAACCCCUCCCCUGGGAAUCAGCUUUGGGCUGAUCCCUUAUUUCUUAAUACUUUAAGAUCUCUCUAUCAAAUGUCACUGUAAUGUGUAUGACCAAGAGAAGAAAGGCAAAGAUGAGCCACAGCUAAUUCUUAGGAGCACACAGCAUGCUGCUCAUAAACUUGUUAGCUGUCUUCCAGAAAUAAUAGCAGCUGAAGUAAAAGCCCCCCUCAAAUACAAGGCAAGGUAUUCAUCUUCUUUUUAAGGAUAAUGAGAUCCUGCUUUGAACUCUUCAGUGUUGCAGUACCAGUGGGUUGUUUCACCAUCACUGCCUCUAAUGAAGCAGUUCUGUACUCUUCAGUUUGUGGCGUGCUUAUCACCAUGGUAUCUGACUGCAUGUACUGAUCAUAAAAAUACGUCAAAUAUUUGUGAUUAAAAGCUCCCAGGAAAGAAAAAACGUUCCUUCAUUCUUUCCCUUCAUGACAAGCCAUUAAACACAGUCUAGAAUAGUCUUAAAUAACAUCUUGUUUCUAACUGAAUCUUCUUUGAAGCAGAAAGUCACACUAAUCAACCCAGGCAAUUACUAACAGCACAUCUGCACGACGAAUAUCUGAAGUGGAAAACAUUUGCUCCACAGCAGCAUCAUUAUAACGGCAGGAGCAAGGAAGACUAUCACACUGAUGGGAACUGGGGGAUCUUGUUAAAUUCCUAAUGGUGAGGAAAGAAAGCCUUGUAAACAUUUUAAUCACCCAUUCAGAGCAACCAAGAGAAACUCUGCCAGUCAUUACAGUGGGUGCCAAUUUAACUGUGACUAGCUGGCAGGACACACAGAGAAGUGAAGUGUAAAGAAAACUUGUGUCCAUUGAAUGCUUGGCUUUAUCUUUCCAGGCCAAUGCUGCUUGUGCUGCUCUGGAAGAAGGAGAGAGCCUUUGAGAAGAUGCUGGCAGAAUGGCAACAAGAAAAUAUGAAGAGCUGCAGGUGGAAGUGAACACUUCCCAGAAGCAAUAUGCAUGACUGAAUGAGGCAUCUCCAGGAAUCAGUUCCAAGGAUGUCACUUGAACUCCCAGAGCCUCCCUUACUUGCUAUACAGGGAGACAAGCUGCCUUGGCUUUUUUUCUUUUUAAUAAAUGAAAAUAUUCUGUAAAUUGUAAAAAUUGAUCUCCUCCAGGAGGCUGAAAGAUGACACUGUCAAUAUUUAGAAGAUGCAGAUUUAGAAUCUGCUUGCCUUUGCAGCCAAGAGAAAAUGGUGAUGGAGUCCCUGGCAGAGAUCCAGCGCUUCCUGGGCUGUCUCUCCCAACCUAUUACUCUGGCCUACAUCACCUGGCAAAGUGCCUCAUUCUGUUGCAUAGAGACAACGUGGAAUCCUAUUUGCAUUUUGUAUGAGCAACCAUCUGAAAAUGGGAGAGGGGAAGACUAGGCUAAAAACUGGAAAAAAUUUCUCGUGAUUUAAUGGGCUUCACUCUUCUGCCUCCAUGAUCACAUAGAGCUAGCAGGGCUCCUUCAGAAAUCCAGGAUAAUAGUUAGCAAUGAGAAAAAGGGCAGCUAAUGUGAAGUGACUGGAGCCAUUUCAUGCCAUUUCUAUUCAAAGAAUCUGUCUGGCGCACUUGGUAAAGUUCACAGUCCUGAAAUAAACCUAUCACAUGAAAUAUCUGUUCUCUUCCCUGGAGGAAAUUAAGGAUCUAAUCAAUCAGCUGAGGAAAGGAGGGCACAGCAUUCACGAGCUGCAGAAGAUAAGAUUGAAGACUGAUUAGGAUGAACUGCAGGUGGCACUGGAGGAAGCAGUCUUCCCUAGAAGUACCAGUGCCACAGAUGUGAGAGCUGCAUGCAGGCCUGAUGCCUGCUUGCCCACAUUCCACUGAAUAGAUUCUGUACGUAUAAUCCCACAGAGCACCUUUGUUCAUUCUUCUGCUGCACCUCUCCUUACAGAUCUGCAUUCAGUUUGAACUGUUUCAGGUUAAAGCUGAAAUUGAUAGAGAUCAGAAGGAAGAAUCUGAAAUAAUCAGGUGUAGCAAUAUGACAUUAAGUUAUACACCAAAGCUGCAGCAAGGUUUAAGUUAGAGACUAGGUAAGUUUUCUAGUUGUAGGGGGAAUUACUCCUGGGACAAGAUGGUCUGGAGAUCAUGGAGUCUCCAUUACUGGAAGUUAGGUACAGUCUGGUCACACAUCCAGGAACUGGUUUGACAGAUAACCCCAAUUUUAGAUAGAUUUUUAAGAUGACUUCUUGAAAGCUCUCCUAGCCCUAUGUUUUAAAAGAAGGUAUUCUAGUUUGGUGCAGAAUCUUAGUACCUCAGUUUUAAACAGGCUUAGAAAUUGACUGUUUUUAUUACUUGGUGGACAAUAAUUUGAUCCAAAGGCUGGAUUAGAUUCAACAUAACAGAAUGCUGUGCCAUAUGCUUCACUGCACUCUGCAGGAAAAUCACCAGCAUGCAAUUGAGUCUCCACAGGUGAGUCUGGAAACUGAAUCAACAGGGCAUGCUGGAACUUCCAAGCUCAAGAAGAUGGAAACAGACCCAAACAAAGUGGAAAUCUGAGGGCAUCAUGCCAACAGUAACAAUAACGAGCUUGUCAAGAUGCUGAAUCAACUGCAACAGAAUGUCAAGCUGAACUGCAGGAGGUGCAAGCAGGACCCCAAAUAAAAAAAGCAUGCCAGUUCUAUCUUAUACCUUAAGCAAUAAAGUAAUAAAUUAUGUAGUCUUGUUCAGACAUCUUGAGCAAAUUGAGAAUUUAUUCAUUAGUCCCAGCUCUCCCACUGACAGCAAUUUCAACCUGCAGUAGUUCCAACAAACCUUGUAGAAGAUAAGCAUUACUAUCAGCUUUUCUCAAGUUAGAAUCCCAGAGAAUCACAUGUAUGUGAUCAGAAAAAAAGUGCUGUUUGCAUUAGUAUAGCCACAGACCUGACUAGGACUUAACCAAGAGUAAAAGCACAGAGCUUCCUUUGGAACCUCUUUCAAAAGGAAAACCCAGAAAAAGGGUGACAAAGCUAGACUCUGCUGGAACAGUAGUACAGUUGCUGCCAAAAAUACAAUUUCAGUAACUGAAAGAGUAACAUGACUCUCUCCACUCGGGUGUGUGCAUAUACACACACCAGCCUAACUCGACCUCUGUUACAUCUGUCUCAGUCAGAAGAGCCUCUCACAGAGAAUGUGGCUGCAAUGACUGCAGCCAGGCACAAACAACACCAGGAUAAAACACUGUCUUGUUUUUUGUUUUAACGUGGCAACACCUUAAGGACAAGCCUCGCAGAGAAACCUCCAUCUUUCAGCUUCUUCUCCAUUCAUUAUUUUCUCUUUCACCUGCUUUCAGGACCUUUGAAUUCAAAUGGAUGAAGGUGAUUACCAGCAUGAGAAAGGUGCAGGAACACCUCCUCAGCCCACUACUGACAGAGCUGGAAGGGGCACAGACUGCCCUAGAGAGCAGUGGGUGCCCUCCCAAACUCCCAGAGAGGGCAGAGGUUAUAGACAGACAUAGUGAAAACAAUGGCUGUGCAUAGAAAAGGUUAUUUAUGCAACAGCUAUUUUGACAGUUUAUAUGCAGGUUGUUUAACACUCAACCUUUGAGUAAGAAGUGCAGGAUUAGGCCAAUAAUGGACAAACAUAACACUGCUCUGUAAGGAAAUUCUGUGGAACCUGAAGAGCUCAGUCAUUAGAAUAAUUAUACUUAUGAUGGACGGCAAGACUUGUGUUUAUUUUAAGCAAAGUCUGGACUAUCUUGGCUCAGUUUUGCUCCUAGCAAGGCCUAUGAAAAGGCUUUUAGCAGAUUUGGUGGAAGAGUUAAGACAGUGCUGAGCACUCCUGAAAAACCUGCCUUAAAAAGGGCAGUAUAAAAUUCUGACUCCAUUGAAACUACAGUUCUGUUAGUUGUCUCCAUGGUGCUGGGACUUCUCCAUGGAAUGCAGCCCACAGCAAGAUCUACUUCAGUGUAAUUUUAAGCAUCUUUCUGUUACAGAUUGCAGUAUGAAAUAUCAUACCUGCCAUUUCAUUCUGUGCAGAGAUCUAAGAAGCUAUUUUAACAUUCACCACAGCCUGCAGUUCAUUUCCAUGAAGGAUAGACUACACACACAAACAUCUGCAAGGAAAAGAAUACGAGUUCUGGAAUGGACUGACACCACAAGAAGCAUUUCUCAGCUGCAAUUAUGGGACAUCAGUUGUGAGAACUGAGCCAUAAAUGCAACUGUUACUCAAAUAGGUUAGAAACUCAAACAACACGUUUACCUGCAACAGACUAGUGAUUAAAGGACACAUUUUUAGCAGGUGAACUGCAACCUCCAUGACAAAUUGGGAGUUUUAAGGUUUGUUAAUACAAAACCUAUAUAGCACAGCAGUUGUGCAGCAUUCUAGAACACAACAGCACAUUUACUUGAUAUUCUUCUGCUGAAGGGCAGUGUGUUGUUAGAAUGCAGUCUUUCUAUUAAAGCCCUUGUAGUUCUUCUUCCUUAGAGUGGUGCUUAUUUUUUAUUAUUAUUAUUAUUUUUCUUUACAGCAACAGUCCUCCAGUGAUUUGUAUCAGUAAACAGUAAGCACUAAACAAGCUGUGGAGCUCAUAUUUUCCAUGAGAUAAAAAGACACACAUUGUAAAUUCUGGAGCAGAGACUAUAUUUGUUUGUUGAGAUUGCAAUCAAACACAUUUUCAGUCAGGUCUAAAGCCAGCUGCUGCUACUGCAGCUUAACUUCGAAAUAAAUAAUAUUGGUAUAUAUACUCAACUCCAUGUACACAGAUAUCCAGUAAAACAGACUCAGAAUCGAGGACUCUGUAAACAACAGGGUCUAUUCCUGCCUCAGACUGCAUCAUCAUUUUAGCCUUCAUUUAGCAUUAAGGUAAAUAGAGAGGUCCUAAUGUUCCACAGCACACAUACAGUGGGAGUGAAUUCCAGUCAACUUAGUAGUGCACAGUUUUAUAGAGAAAAGUAAGCUACCAAAAACUAAGCCACAAAUCACUUAAUGAGAUAAAUGGAAUCCCCAGAGCUGAGCAGUUUGCAUUCAGGGAAUCCAGGACUCCUUUAUUUUCUAGGAAGAAUCUGCCUGCUAUUAGAUGAAGUCAAAAGUUGAUUGUUACCAUACUACUAACAAGCAUGAGGAAAUCGUCCCUGAGCACUGAAAAGCUGAUGAGAAAGCAAAGAAAGUUGUGGCUGAUCCAGGUUACCUCUCCACCCUUCUGCCCUUUAUAUUGGUAAAUGGAAUAUAUACCCUAAGGCUUCCAGCAUUUCUCUCCAGCAUUUAUAAGAAGAACGCUGUUAAUAACAUGUUAGCACUUGCUUUGCUUUUACAAUCCUGAAAAGCAGCAUGCUUGUUAGUUCUGACUGACUGCAGUCUAGUAAAAUUAACCCACAGAAGAAGAAAUCUACUUUCUCUAUGUCUCUUUGGUAAUUUACAUCACAGAUGGCACCCUGAGGAAUUCCUCCAUUUUCUCUCUUUAUCCCUUCUUCCAUUUAUUGCACAACUCCACCCUCACACUUACCAGGUCUCCAACACAAGAGGAGGCUAGUUUCCCCUUAGGUAGUCAAUGACAUUUGUCAUUGGCACAGAGGGGAGAAAAGUUGCCAGUACUGAGCAGAUUGCUCCAUUGGCACUGUGCUGACAACUGACACUUCAGAAAUAUCAAAGCUAGAUAUGGGUUUAAUGCAUAGCAUUUUCUCCCUGAGUAAGGAUGAGCAUCCUGCCUUUCUGUAUAAGGCUACCUCGUGUUCAGGCAAUAUCUUCACCUUCCAUCCACUGCAUGCCCCUAAAUCACAUUUUUCUACUGAAGGGUGGACAUCAAAGCCUGAAAUGUUAUUAGAACAAAGUUAUUGACUUAACAGAUAGGGAUAAUACCUUUGAGUAUUCCAGAGGUACUAAGCAAGCAUACCAGCACCUGGUUUAUGGUCUGACCUAGCGCUGCCCAAGUCAGCUGGGAUUACUUCCAUCAACUUGGAUCUAAUCUUUAGAAAGGCAGCCUGUGAUAAAGAAAAAUUAAAGAUAAGGCAAAUUUUCUCAGAAGGCAGCAUACAGGUCCUACACAUCCUACUUUUCAAUACCCUGUAUAAAUAGCUGGACUGUCAAUCUGUUUCAUACCUUCCUCAGAGGCUUCCUGCAUGGCAAAAGAGCUGUGUCAGGAGCAGAACCACAACAUGCACCUGGAAAAUAUUAAAGAACUAAUAAAUUGCAGUUAAAGAUCUGUAAAUCAAGAUUGAAUAGGCUGAGUGGUUAGCCCUGGAAGGACAAAAAAAAGCACUACCACAAAACUCCAGGCUAAGAAAAAACGUGCUUGGUUGGAAUGAGCUUCCUAAUAGAUCUGUGCAACUAUGAAACUCCUUCCUGCACCCGAUCUUCCACGUUCAACAAAAUUACCUGAAAUGGGGUGUUUCCAUUUAACAGUUAACACAUACCAAAGGAAAUGCACUAACUUAAGGAAAACCAGACUAGGCAGAAGAAAUAUGCAUGUAAGACACUCUCAGCCCACUGGAGCACAAGGGAACUUCAGCACUCUGUACCCUGAGCAAAUCAUAUCAAUCAGAAUCAUCAGUGUUUGAAUACAGCAGUAACAAGCUACUGGUAUCAGCAGCUGAUCUACACUCACGAAGAGAACUUGCAAAGUGUACUAUCAGCAGUGGCAGGACUUACCCUUUAUUUCUGUGUUGCAACAAAACUCAAGAGCAUGAGCAUCUCCAGACUCCCAGGGUAGAUACCAUCUUCCCAUUUCUUUUUUUGAUCCUCAUAAUUCUACAUCAACACUUCAAAUCCCCUCUGUGAUUAUUUAUCCUGCUGUUCCUUUUCAGAUUAAGUAACUGGAUGUAGAACUGUCCUCCAAAUAGAAACACCACGUUCUGCAGAAUUUUCAGUCUCCACAAUAAGCCUCUAAAGGAGAUGAUCUUGCAAAAAAGAUGACAACAAAACCAACUAGUGUGCAGAAAUAGAAUGGCUGGAGAAGCUGUAGAACUGAAAAUAUUGAGAAUUAAAUUGAAGCAGCUGUAUAUAUUCCCUGUCCAAGCUCAUUGCUCCAUCAUGUAACUGUAUCUUGUUAAUCUGCUGAAGGAUCACAUCAGACAUAUCCUAAGACACUUUUUUUCCAGUGCAAAUGUUUCUCUUGUUAAAUAUUUGCUGGUCCAGGAAGAGGAGGAUAACCAAAGCCUGUCCAAGUACAGGAAGACCAUACACAAACUAGAUGACAGAUAAAAGGGGAGGGAUGGCCAAAUCAGCUCCCCAGGAAUUCUCAGCAAGCAAAGGGCUCGCUUCUGGGGAGAUACCCAAGUGCCAUAAUCCUCUUCCUCCAUGUCAGUGGCUCAGAAACAGGCAGUGAAGUUGGAGCUCAUGUUUGAAGCCACCUGCCACGAAUUCAUUAGAGCAGAAAAGGGUGUGGAACCAAGAUGAGGAAAACAGGUGUGUUCUCAACAUAGGUACUCCACAAACCUGUUAUGCAUGGAGAUAAAUUCUGAAAUAGCAAAUGGUUGGUACAGGGAUGUUUUCAAUAAUGGUAAAACAGAAAGAGCUAAUGGGCAGCAUCCUACUGCUUCCAAAAGGGAUGACCAGUAAGAGAAUGUUCUCAAGGGCACCAGAAGUGGACAGGAAGAAUCUCUCUUAAGGAAAAGCCUAUCUCAUAUGGGGGGCGUGGUACAUAGCAAAAUUGCACUAGCAGGCUUGAGAUCAUCACAACAUGCAGAUGUAAGAACUAUCUGUAUAUCUGAGAAACUGAAAAUACAGUUCCCAAGUAUACCUUGAAUGACAGAAGGCACCAUCAGUACUUGGGAAAUACCUGCACUAUCAGGUUUGGGACUUUAAGAUAGAAGGUGGGAUCUGGCCUAUCUCUUGCAAAUAAUUGAGAUUGUUCGCAGUGUGACAGCAAAACAGUGUACCAGGAUGCUGCUCAAACCUGAUGCCAUAAGGUGCUGCAACAGGAUGAUGGAGAAGCACAGAAGCAGCAAACUGACAGCCUGGGAGGUGGGCACAGCUCCUGUGGCAGCACAGCACAGGCUGCAGGGCAUGAGAUUUUGCUGGUUGUGGAAGAUAUGUUCAGGAAAUAGCAGGGCUGGCUCCUAGUGAAUGUCUCGAAUGAGAGUGUUUAAAACACCUGUGUACAGCUUCAAAGUAAAUCUAAAAAGAAAAAGCAAUAAAUACUGCCACUAUUUCUUUUCUAGUGGAGAAGAUUUUCUGCAGGAGCUAGAGUAAAACACUACCAUCAUCCAAACACCACCACCUUGCUGUUAUUCACCAAGUCCUGCUUGGACAACUGGAACAAAUGCAUUCAAGCAUACAAUCUCUGGAAAGCAGGCUAACAGCAGGGCAGGCACUGCUGAGCAUUGCACACUUGGACACGUAGCUCUAAAGGUGGGCACUUGGAGCCCCAGCCCUACCAGCUUGAGCAUGGAGGCUCCCACCACAGAUCUUCUCUGACAGGAAGGAAAAAGCAAUCAGCAUCGAGCUUAUCAUUAUCUAGACAGCCAGCAUGCAAGACGACCGCUCAGUAAGUCUGAUCAAUAUGCAGUCUGCCUUCCUUCUUAUUUUCUAUUACAACAGUUGCACAAAUUAUAUGACAUUCUAACAGUUGUCACACAUAACACCGUAUUAAGAUGCAAAAAAAACCCCCAAAAAAACAAAAACAACAACAAAAAACCAGGACAAUUGGAUACAUUGACUUUUCAAGCUUAAAAUUCCUGAAUUUGCAGUUAUUUCAAUCGGUGACUUCGUCUGUCCUUAAGGCAAGCACUCCUCAUAAUUCAAGAGUAUUUCUGAUGAAAAUCAAUCUUGAUAAAUUGUGAUCUAAAUGGCAGUUCUAGAAACGCAGAGGAUGCAAUUAGGAAAAGAUGACCUUUCUUGUGUCCCCCUUUUAAGCAUCAGAUAGGAUAUCAUGCUCAGUGUCAGGAAUUGCAAAGUUUUCAAAUCCUGGGGUGAAUAACACACAUCUAGAAGGCCUCUCAAACUAAACACUAUUAUCUGCAAAUACCCGUUUGUUACAUAGCAACCCACUUUUUGAGUAGCUGUUACCAGCUGUAUGCCCUUGCUGUUAAUAAAAGAAUGAAAACGAUGUCCCAGCUCUUUUUUUCCCCCUGAUAUAUCUUAAGGUCAUAUUGACCUAAACUACUUCCAUUAAAAUCAGUUUGAUUUGGCUUGCGAGGCCUUAAUCUCAAAACCAUUGGCAUCCUUUCUGGAUUACCACACUUUAAUUGCAUCAGCAAUGCCACAGGAACAAAGGUGGAACAUUCUCUGGAAAGCUAUGCUGAAGAUGAGGCCUUAGCCUUUAAUGCUUAAAGGCUCUGCAGAGUUCCUCAUUUAGAUACUUUCACCCCAUCUGGUGAAAAUCAUUUUGAAAACAUAAAGCCAUGCUUAAACGCAAUUUCAUUCCCGUUAUGUAAUGUUACUUGGCCUAGUUGAGCAUCUUUAAUCUGUGCAGCUGAACUAGUUUUAUCGUUAAGCCAAUAAGGGCUGCAACGAUUAUGUAUCUCAGGGCUACAGAAGCACAGUAACACUGGUUUAGGAGCCCAUUAAGCAAAGCCCCGUUCCCGAACACAAGAUCUUAUAUUGUACCUCACCCGCUGUGAGAAGUAUUUGUCUGAUCUAUUCUUAAAACCUCUAAGAAGAGCCCACAUCUUGCCUAGUCAGUCCAACGCUGUGCCUGACUAGUUCAGAAGAAUCACUGAACAUUUUUUCCACUGUAACCCAGAUCAGCCUUGCUGUUAUUUUAGCUUAUGGCUCCUCACCCUACCCCCAGUGGACAUGAGAGAACAAAUUGUCCCUUUCCUCACGGCACCAUCCUUUUAUCUAUUUGAAGACUUACCAUGUCUGUGGCUGUCUGUUCUCUCUGGCUCUGUAAGAGCCAUGUGUUCAAAGACCUCGAUCAUUAUUUUUACUUUUUUUUCUCCAAAUCACACAAAAUUCCCUCACGUGGAGCCCAGUACUGGACAUACUGUCUUAGCACAGCUCAGCAUAGCAGGGUGCCUGUGCCUUAUUAGCAGUUUUCUUACUUACACAGACCUGUGUGGCAUUCUCUCCAACAACAAGACACUGAUACUCAUUCAGCUUACAGCCCACAGCAGCCCCUCCAUCCUUUCCUGCAGCACAGUCAGCUGCUUUUCCUAAGAUCAAUACAAUCAACUCCACAACUAUGAAGUAUACAGUACCACACCUCUUACUUUUUUUCCCUAGAGUUCCUCUUUUUGCAUUCUAGUUCUCUGACAGUGCAUUAAUACAAGCUCAAACUUGACCUCAUCUCCAAACGCAGUAAUUACAGGGCCUGUUUCAUUGUGGAUGAGUAAUGGACUGAAGGUAGUUCCCCAGACAAGUGCUGAUACCAAGUACAUUUUUCCUCAACUAGUUCUGCAGCCCUGUUAAAGCAGUAUCACGUAGACUGGUUUUCCAGCUUAUUAUUAGAAAACCCUGCAAGCCAACAUUAGAAGUUCUACUAAAAAAUGAAGGUAUGUGACACACAUUGCCUUACCCUCACCUGCAAGCUGCUGCACUGCCAGAGAUGGAGAUGAGAUUGGCUCAAUUCGUUCACAACAAAGCCAUGCUGGGCACAGCUCACCUCGCACCUAGCUUACAAACUAAUUUCCCUCAGCCCAGAAAUUAAACUCACAACGAGGAGCAGCAGGGCCAUACCUCAGAGCUGCUCACCUCCCCACACUCCCCGAGUUGCCUAACUUUGCUUAUUUCAGGUGACAAGGCCUCGCUGCCAGUAGGGUUUAUAAGGUAGGUGUAACGGGAGCCAAAGCACGAGAUCCCAGUGAACACCUCACAGGGAUGAGGAGCAGGGCACGGCUCCCCGCGCACCGGGCAGCAUGAGGGAAGGGCACAGCGCUCAGCGCUGCUCAGCAGGGCCCUUCCGCCCAGCCAACAGGCAGUGCCUGCCUCACAGCUCCCAGCUGAGCGCCUCCCAAAGCCAGCACGGCUCUGCCUCGCUCAGGACGCUCAGCAGCAGCCCCAGUAACCUCUCAGGCGGAGACCCCCACCUCCUGCCCCUGAGGCACACCGAGCCCCAUCGCUCCCCCUCGCACAGCUACGAGCUCCCCCACAGACAACGCUCCUCCGUAUUUACCUCACCCAGCACCACGUGGGUGCGCCAACCCCUCCCUGCGCAUGCGCCUCCCGCCCAACCGCCGCCUUUGUGUGAGGCGCGGGCACACCCCACAUUCCUCCC
ensembl:lncRNA